rnacentral:rRNA from 1 species
CCCUUAGAUGUUCUGGGCCGCACGCGCGCUACACUGAUGCAUUCAACGAGCCUAUCCUUGACCGACAGGUCCGGGUAAUCUUUGAAUCUGCAUCGUGACGGGGAUAGAUUAUUGCAAUUAUUAAUCUUCAACGAGGAAUGCCGAGUAGGCGCAAGUCAUCAGCUUGCGUCGAUUACGUCCCUGCCCUUUGUACACACCGCCCGUCGCUCCUACCGAUUGGGUGUGCUGGUGAAAUGUUCGGAUCGGCCGUUUGUCGCGGUUUCCGCGUCAUGUGGCUGAGAAGUUCAUUAAACCCUCCCACCUAGAGGAAGGAGAAGUCGUAACA